AGAGUGAACGCUGGCGGUAGGCCUAACACAUGCAAGUCGAACGGCAGCACAGGAGAGCUUGCUCUCUGGGUGGCGAGUGGCGGACGGGUGAGGAAUACAUCGGAAUCUACCUUUUCGUGGGGGAUAACGUAGGGAAACUUACGCUAAUACCGCAUAAGACCUUCGGGUGAAAGCCGGGGACCUUCGGGCCUGGCGCGGAUAGAUGAGCCGAUGUCGGAUUAGCUUGUUGGCGGGGUAAAAGCCCACCAAGGCGACGAUCCGUAGCUGGUCUGAGAGGAUGAUCAGCCACACUGGAACUGAGACACGGUCCAGACUCCUACGGGAGCAGCAGUGGGAAUAUUGGACAAUGGGCGCAAGCCUGAUCCAGCCAUACCGCGUGGGUGAAGAAGGCCUUACGGGUUGUAAAGUCCCCUUUGGUUAGGGAAAGAAAGUCCGUAGCCGGUUAAGUAACCAGUAAGGAUCGACGGUAACCC
rnacentral:rRNA from 1 species